rnacentral:tRNA from 1 species
AGCGGGGUAGGGUAGCCUGGUAGCCUGCGGGGCUCAUAACCCCGAGGUCCCCGGUUCAAAUCCGGGCCCCGCUA